rnacentral:tRNA from 4 species
GGACCAUUAGCUCAGCUGGUUAGAGCAAACGGCUCAUAACCGUUCGGUCGAUGGUUCCCAUCAUGGUCCA